AGUGAACGCUGGCGGUAGGCCUAACACAUGCAAGUCGAACGGCAGCACAGUAAGAGCUUGCUCUUACGGGUGGCGAGUGGCGGACGAGUGAGGAAUACAUCGGAAUCUACUUUUUCGUGGGGGAUAACGUAGGGAAACUUACGCUAAUACCGCAUACGACCUACGGGUGAAAGCAGGGGAUCUUCGGACCUUGCGCGAUUGAAUGAGCCGAUGUCGGAUUAGCUAGUUGGCGGGGUAAAGGCCCACCAAGGCGACGAUCCGUAGCUGGUCUGAGAGGAUGAUCAGCCACACUGGAACUUAGACACGGUCCAGACUCCUACGGGAGGCAGCAGUGGGGAAUAUUGGACAAUGGGCGCAAGCCUGAUCCAGCCAUACCGCGUGGGUGAAGAAGGCCUUCGGGUUGUAAAGCCCUUUUGUUGGGAAAGAAAAGCAGCAGGUUAAUACCCCGCUGUUCUGACGGUACCCAAAGAAUAAGCACCGGCUAACUUCGUG
rnacentral:rRNA from 1 species